rnacentral:lncRNA from 13 species
ACUCACUGGUGCUGUGCUCCCAAUGAUGAAACUCCCUCCUUUGCCUCCUUUGUGAGGUAGCCAGAGCAGAAGGCAUUGUUCCCUUCUCCCUCUCUGAUCUAUCAGCCAUUGAGAAAUGCCUAGGGUCAUUUUCCACCAAUCCUACUGCUUACACAAAAGAAUUCCACUACCUCACCCAGGCUUAUGACCUCACCUGGCAAGAUACCUAUGUGAUUCUGUCCUCCACCCUCACCCCAGAUGAGCAUGACCACAUCCUUACUGCAGCCCAGGCACACGAUGAUUAGGCACAUCUCACAGACAAUCGAAUGCCAGUAGGUGCAGCAGUGGUCCCCGAGGCUGACCCUAACUGGAACUAUCAAACUGGUCAAGAUGGCUGCCGCCACCAAGAUCAAAUGCUACAGUGCCUCCUAGUGGGCAUCCAAAAGAACCAGAGGAUUCCCACCCAGUGGUGCCUCUCCAACCGGGCGACAGUGUUCUCCUCCAAGAACUCAAACCAGGAUCCCUGCAACCCAGGAAUCCUGGACUAAGAGCCCCACCACCAGGACCCAUUAUCUUGCACAGGCAAACUGCCAAACAGGCAGAUGUCAGUCUACUGUCUCCAUCCUCAUCCCAUAUGGUAAAAGCAUCAUACUCAGUAGUGAUCAUGGGUUUCACUUUCAGCAUGGGCUGUGUUUUCUAUGUGACCAAACCAAGGACUACUGUCAUUGGUGGAACACCAUCUACGGGGAGUACCCAUACAGCUCCUGUGUUAUUCACAAGCCACAGCCUCCAAGCUGUCCCAACCGCAUGCUCACUCUCUUCGGCAAUGGUUCCUUAGCCCUCAACAUCCAUGACCCCUGGCACAGCUGUUGAGAUGCAGGAGUGUCCAGUAAGGUCUAUGAAGAUUAUACCUGGAGCCACCCUCAGGGAACAUGGCUAAUAUUCUGGUCCUAUACCCACAUCGUCUCUGAAACAAUAGAACAGCUCUGUUCUGUAAGCCAUACAAUCCUGCAAAAUGAAGCCAUCCUAACUAACUAAUUCAAACCCUCAGAUAACACCUCUCAACCUUUCUCUUGGUUGACUCUAGUACAGCAGGGAGCCAACAUGUUAAAUUUAACUAAAGCCAUGAAUAUCACCAACUGCUUUUAAUGUACCUCUCUCAGCAACCCCCCCUUAGCUGCAGUUCCCCUUAGGUCUGGGU